GACGAACGCUGGCGGCGUGCCUAAUACAUGCAAGUAGAACGCUGAAGCGAGGAGCUUGCUCUUCUUGGAUGAGUUGCGAACGGGUGAGUAACGCGUAGGUAACCUGCCUUGUAGCGGGGGAUAACUAUUGGAAACGAUAGCUAAUACCGCAUAACAAUGGAUGACACAUGUCAUUUAUUUGAAAGGGGCAAUUGCUCCACUACAAGAUGGACCUGCGUUGUAUUAGCUAGUAGGUGAGGUAAUGGCUCACCUAGGCGACGAUACAUAGCCGACCUGAGAGGGUGAUCGGCCACACUGGGACGGAGACACGGCCCAGACUCCUACGGGAGGCAGCAGUAGGGAAUCUUCGGCAAUGGGGGCAACCCUGACCGAGCAACGCCGCGUGAGUGAAGAAGGGUUUCGGAUCGUAAAGCUCUGUUGUAAGUCAAGAACGGGUGUGAGAGUGGAAAGUUCACACUGUGACGGUAGCUUACCAGAAAGGGACGGCUAACUACGUG
rnacentral:rRNA from 1 species